CUUCAGGCAGCAAACGGGAAGUGAUGAGUGGUCAAAUCUCGCCAUUCUUUGCGAGAGGAGUGUCCACCCCAAGCCUGGUUACGACACUAUGGGCACUCCAACAUAUACCAAUCUGAUCCCUAUCUUCUGACAAAUUUCUCUUUUCCCUUUUCAAACUCUCCACUUCACCGAUGAGGGUUGUAUCAGGAAUGGAAAGGGAUUAUUAUCACGACCUAGACGUUCUUUUUCACGGCAUUCCUGGGAUUUUAGAGGGUGACUGUUUUGUCCGAAGAUUUGCAAACAACAAAACCUCGUAUUUUAGAGAGAUGUAUGGUCUCAGUAAUUUCUACAAAAAAAUCGGUACGUUUUGGAUGCAUGCCAUCUGUUGGAUUAAA